UGUGACUAAUUCUCCAUCAGUUUUCCCUAAAAGUCCCUGUAGCAUAGCCUUCUCAGCUUCGAACUCCUCAUAUUUCGGCACCACUGAAAAGGUCAUUGUUCUUUCCCCACACUGGUUUGUUUUUGGUACUGGAGUCAGCUGGAUAGAUUCCACAGCUCGUUGAAGUGUUUGUGUUAUCAGGGGCAUGAAACAUGGCAGCAGUCGUCCCCCCCGCAACUGCCAUCUCCAUUUCAACAAGUCUCCACCAAACAACUCUCCCCACCAGGAGGAUCACACUUUUUCGUACAGAAAUUGUGUAGAGGAGCACAAUCAGGGCAGUGGGCACAAGAACAGCUCUCGCAUCAGCAAGAGCACGUGCAAAACCGGCACAUCCAAGAGCCAGGCAGUGAGAGCCAAGCAGUG